rnacentral:rRNA from 1 species
UACGGGGGGAGCAAGCGUUGUUCGGAUUUACUGGGCGUAAAGGGCGCGUAGGCGGCCACCGCAAGUCGAUUGUGAAAUCUCCGGGCUUAACCCGGAAAGGUCAACCGAUACUGCGGGGCUAGAGUGCAGAAGGGGCAACUGGAAUUCUCGGUGUAGCGGUGAAAUGCGUAGAUAUCGAGAGGAACACCUGAGGUGAAGACGGGUUGCUGGGCCGACACUGACGCUGAGUGCGCGAAAGCCAGGGGAGCAAACGGG